CGCGCGGGGCAACGUCUAAAACUUCUUUCCGCUUCUCGAAUCCAGUAGAGCCCUCUUAUCCUCUUCUCCUCCGCCGCCUCCUCCCCCUCCCUUCGGAGAAGAGAUCGGCGCGAGCGCAGAAGCCGGAUCUUUGAGUCCGGUUUAGUUUUCUUGCGUUUUUUUUGCUCUUUUCCCUCUUUUCCCUACUCCUCUUCUUGAGUUUGUUCCUCGGCUUCAGCGGAUUGGGGCUUCUUGGAGCUCUCCGAGAGCUCGAAUGGGAUCGGAUCGGAGAAGCUUCGGGUCCCGUCUCGUAUCAGGUUCAGGAUCUAGUCUCCUUCCGGGCCUCCAGUCGGGUGAUCACUAGCGCAUGCUGGCGAUGGCGUGUUGUACUCAUGAGCUAGUUUUCUUCUAAUCCUAGCUAGUCGGAGCUGAUUGCUGGUACAUGCCGAUGGAAGCAUAUUUUUUGUGCGAUUUUAGAGCUAGUUUCGUUUUGGGCCUCUAGUAGGGCGAUCACUGGCGCAUGACUGACAGACGGCAUGUUGUAGUCAAGAUCUAGUCUUUUUUGGAACUUGCCUCGGGCCAAUCAUGGCCAUAGUCGUGGAGACUAGGAGAGUGAGAGAGGAUUGUCCAUCUAUGGUUGAUUUGAAAAGUUAUUUUAGCCAAAUACGUUAUAUAUCUUCAAAUAUAUGUGGAUAGACUUAAUAUGUUCAUUGGCAUGUUUUGAAAUUUGAAAAAUCAUGAAACUACAAAAUUUAUAUUUCUUGCAUAGAA